CUCUUGAUCUGAAAUCAGGCGGGAUUACCCGCUGAACUUAA
rnacentral:rRNA from 1 species